rnacentral:rRNA from 1 species
UACGUAGGGACCGAGCGUUGUCCGGAAUCAUUGGGCGUAAAGCGCGUGUAGGCGGCCAGGUAGGUCCGCUGUGAAAACCCGAGGCUCAACCUCGGGACGUCGGCGGAAACCAUCUGGCUAGAGUCCGGAAGAGGAGAGUGGAAUUCCCGGUGUAGCGGUGAAAUGCGCAGAUAUCGGGAAGAACACCCGUGGCGAAGGCGGGUCUCUGGGCAGUAACUGACGCUGAGGAGCGAAAGCGUGGGGAGCGAACAGG